rnacentral:rRNA from 1 species
AGCCCAGAGCCUGAAUCAGUGUGUGUGUUAGUGGAAGCGUCUGGAAAGGCGCGCGAUACAGGGUGACAGCCCCGUACACAAAAAUGCACAUACUGUGAGCUCGAUGAGUAGGGCGGGACACGUGGUAUCCUGUCUGAAUAUGGGGGGACCAUCCUCCAAGGCUAAAUACUCCUGACUGACCGAUAGUGAACCAGUACCGUGAGGGAAAGGCGAAAAGAACCCCGGCGAGGGGAGUGAAAAAGAACCUGAAACCGUGUACGUACAAGCAGUGGGAGCCUCUUUAUGGGGUGACUGCGUACCUUUUGUAUAAUGGGUCAGCGACUUAUAUUCUGUAGCAAGGUUAACCGAAUAGGGGAGCCGAAGGGAAACCGAGUCUUAACUGGGCGUUAAGUUGCAGGGUAUAGACCCGAAACCCGGUGAUCUAGCCAUGGGCAGGUUGAAGGUUGGGUAACACUAACUGGAGGACCGAACCGACUAAUGUUGAAAAAUUAGCGGAUGACUUGUGGCUGGGGGUGAAAGGCCAAUCAAACCGGGAGAUAGCUGGUUCUCCCCGAAAGCUAUUUAGGUAGCGCCUCGUGAAUUCAUCUCCGGGGGUAGAGCACUGUUUCGGCAAGGGGGUCAUCCCGACUUACCAACCCGAUGCAAACUGCGAAUACCGGAGAAUGUUAUCACGGGAGACACACGGCGGGUGCUAACGUCCGUCGUGAAGAGGGAAACAACCCAGACCGCCAGCUAAGGUCCCAAAGUCAUGGUUAAGUGGGAAACGAUGUGGGAAGGCCCAGACAGCCAGGAUGUUGGCUUAGAAGCAGCCAUCAUUUAAAGAAAGCGUAAUAGCUCACUGGUCGAGUCGGCCUGCGCGGAAGAUGUAACGGGGCUAAACCAUG